rnacentral:snRNA from 1 species
AUAGUAUAGUAUAGUAUAUAGUAUUACAGAACAGUAUCUGUUCUUAUCAGCCUAAUAUCUGAUACGGGUCCUAAUUGGACCCAACAUAUUAAACUUAUUUUUGGAAAGGGGCGGAGUGUUUGAAGCUCGCUUCACCUCCGUCAUGGGUAGGCCCGGUAUUGCACUGCCUCCGGGAUCGGCCCACCCACC